rnacentral:rRNA from 1 species
UAAUACGUAGGGGGCGAGCGUUGUCCGGAUUCAUUGGGCGUAAAGAGCUCGUAGGCGGCUUGAUAAGUCGGGUGUGAAACCCUCAGGCUCAACCUGGGGUCGCCACUCGAUACUGUCAUGGCUAGAGUCCGGUAGGGGACCACGGAAUUCCUGGUGUAGCGGUGAAAUGCGCAGAUAUCAGGAGGAACACCGGUGGCGAAGGCGGUGGUCUGGGCUGGCACUGACGCUGAGGAGCGAAAGCGUGGGUAGCAAACAGGAUUAGAUACCCUGGUAGUCCACGCCGUAAACGUUGGGCACUAGGUGUGGGGCCUCAUCAACGGGUUCCGUGCCGCAGCUAACGCAUUAAGUGCCCCGCCUGGGGAGUACGGCCGCAAGGCUAAAACUCAAAGGAAUUGACGG